rnacentral:rRNA from 1 species
UAAGGAAUAUUGGUCAAUGGACGCAAGUCUGAACCAGCCAUUCCGCGUGAAGGAUUAAGGCCCUCUGGGUUGUAAACUUCUUUUAUAGGGGAAGAAAUGUGACGGUUCUCCGUCACUUGACGGUACCCUGGGAAUAAGCACCGGCUAACUCCGUGCCAGCAGCCGCGGUAAUACGGAGGGUGCAAGCGUUAUCCGGAUUCCCUGGGUUUAAAGGGAGCGUAGGUGGGCGGAUAAGUCAGAGGUGAAAUCUUCCGGCUUAACCGGGAAGCUACCGAUGAUACUAUUUGUCUGGAAUAUUGCGGAGGUAAGCGGAAUAUGUCAUGUAACAGACAAAUGCUUAGAUAUGACAUAG